CCUACAAUACUGAUGCCGCUCGAAUGGCUAAUGUGCCGGAGGAUUUACAGCCAGAAGAGUGGGAGUGGCUGAUUAAUUACUUUAGCACUAAUUCAAAAUUCCAGGUUUUCUCUAAAUUCAUUGUUUGUGUAGUAUGUUCUUUACUGAAAUUGUCUAUUUCACAUAAAAGGGUGUACCCAGUGCUGAAAGCUCCCAUAGAUUUAUUUUUUCUAUGCAUUGUCAGAUGUACUUUGCUGAAAUUGUCUACCUCACAUAGAUUUAUUUUUUCUAUGCACUGUUAGGAAACUAGCCAAAAGAACUCUGAUAAUCGCAAAAAACAAAAGGCAAUACACAGAGUUGGAUCAAAAUCUUACUCACAACUCAGUUUUGAGAAGGUAUGAGAUGAGUAAAUUAAUGUAUUUGCUUCUUUAGAGUCCAAUAUAUCUACAUUCUUCGUGACAUCCUUAUACAACUUACAGAGAGAUUUAGAAACUGGAGAAGAGCCUGAUUGUAUAGCUCUCUGGGAACUGACCCACACAAAGAAUGGAAUAUGGUCUAACAGAGAAUCUCAGGAUGUUUAUGACAAAGCUUGUGAAGAAGUAAACCUGAAGGAAGGUGAAACUAAUGGCCCAGUUUGAACUGAAGAUAGGAAUAAUAUUUUUCAGACCAACUAUAAAACCACAAUGGGAUGCAAAUCCUCACAGCCUCGUGGGUAUGGCUACAUGGCUAAACCUCCUAGACCGGCUGAUAGGUUUCGUGUCGAGCUUGAAGAGCAAUCCCGUGCUUCCCAAAGACAAAAUGCUGAGCUCAACCAGCAAGUUACGCAAUUGCAAGAUGAACUCCAAGCUAAGCGUGAAAAUACACAGCAACAACUAGAACUUGAGCGAGCUGAACGACAACGACUGGAGGAGAGGUUACAAGAAGAUAGAAUAGAGAGGGAAAGACUUUUAGAAGAGGAACGCAGAUCAAGGCAGCUAGAAUUGCAGGCAGUUCAGGAGUCGUUCAUGUAAAAAAUUGCAGAAAUGACGGAAAUGAUGGGAACCCAACAGACAUUAGCGCAACAGAUCGCCCCUAGGAGGAAUGGCAAGGAAAAUACUAAUCCAAAUGUCUCAAGGUCACCUUUUCAGACCCCAAGUACUAAUUCCGCUCCGGGUAAAAAAAAUAUGAUUCCACCAAACCAGCUUGCUGCAGCUGCUAAACUGAACACACG